rnacentral:rRNA from 1 species
GACGAACGCUGGCGGCGUGCUUAACACAUGCAAGUCGAACGAUGAAGCUAGAGCUUGCUCUGGUGAAUUAGUGGCGAACGGGUGAGUAACACGUGAGUAACCUGCCCCGAACUCUGGGAUAACUGCUGGAAACGGUAGCUAAUACUGGAUACGACCUACGAAGGCAUCUUCUGUAGGUGGAAAGAAUUUCGGUUCGGGAUGGACUCGCGGCCUAUCAGCUUGUUGGUGAGGUAAUGGCUCACCAAGGCGAAGACGGGUAGCCGGCCUGGGAGGGUGACCGGCCACACUGGGACUGAGACACGGCCCAGACUCCUACGGGAGGCAGCAGUGGGGAAUAUUGCACAAUGGGCGCAAGCCUGAUGCAGCAACGCCGCGUGAGGGAUGACGGCCUUCGGGUUGUAAACCUCUUUUAGUAGGGAAGAAGCGAAAGUGACGGUACCUGCAGAAAAAGCACCGGCUAACUACGUGCCAGCCGCCGCAGUAA